AUACGGAGGAUCCGAGCGUUAUCCGGAUUUAUUGGGUUUAAAGGGUGCGCAGGCGGCCAUUUAAGUCAGCGGUUAAAUCGUGGGGCUCAACCCCAUUCUGCCGUUGAUACUGGGUGGCUUGAUUGCGGUCGAGGUUGGCGGAAUUCGUUGUGUAGCGGUGAAAUGCAUAGAUAUGACGAAGAACACCGAUUGCGUAGGCAGCUGACCAGACCGCAAGUGACGCUCAUGCACGAAAGUGCGGGGAUCGAACAGGAUUAGAUACCCUGGUAGUCCGCACAGUAAACGAUGAAUACUUGUUUUCGGCGAUAUAAUGUCGGAGGCAAAGCGAAAGCGAUAAGUAUUCCACCUGGGGAGUACGCCGGCAACGGUGAAACUCAAAUGAAUUGACGGGG
rnacentral:rRNA from 1 species